UGUUCUGAGAAACAAUAUUCAGAACUGCAUGCCAGCCUAUAUUUGUUCCCUCCAUUCCUACCUGGUCUCCAAAGGAUAUGUGUGAGCAUGCAGGAGGACAAGACAUGUGCUGUAUAAGUAUGUUGUCCUGAGUGAGUUCAGGAGUUAAUGCACAUUACUUUGGCCACAUAUACUAAGCUCUCAAAAGAUGUUAAGUUAUCAUCAGAAGGUUAAACCACAGGCUGAAGACCUUGAAAACAUGAGUACUCCUUUUACAAUUUAUGUGAACAACAUGAAAUAAUUCUGAGCCAGGUAACAGGAAGGCCUGAGCUGCUCACGGAGAGAUCUGCCAAUCUCCUUCUCAUCAUCACACCAGGAGAUCCCUUCCAUAGACCAAGGCUGAGGAGCUGCAGCAAUUAAAGAAGUUUUUUGUCAUCUUUACUUGUCUUAGGACAAUACAUGUAUCAAUAAAAUACAUUCUAUAAUAUACUAUGGGAUAUCCACAAUAUAUUGAGUCCUGCUGCCCCAUCUCAAUAAACUAACAAACAAAUAAAUGAAGAUCUACCUAGCUAAAAAUCUCAUUAAAAACACAA